GUGGGUAACCUGCCUGUAAGACUGGGAUAACUCCGGGAAACCGGAGCUAAUACCGGAUAGUUCCUUGAACCGCAUGGUUCAAGGAUGAAAGACGGUUUCGGCUGUCACUUACAGAUGGACCCGCGGCGCAUUAGCUAGUUGGUGGGGUAAUGGCUCACCAAGGCGACGAUGCGUAGCCGACCUGAGAGGGUGAUCGGCCACACUGGGACUGAGACACGGCCCAGACUCCUACGGGAGGCAGCAGUAGGGAAUCUUCCGCAAUGGACGAAAGUCUGACGGAGCAACGCCGCGUGAGUGAUGAAGGUUUUCGGAUCGUAAAGCUCUGUUGUUAGGGAAGAACAAGUGCGAGAGUAACUGCUCGCACCUUGACGGUACCUAACCAGAAAGCCACGGCUAACUACGUGCCAGCAGCCGCGGUAAUACGUAGGUGGCAAGCGUUGUCCGGAAUUAUUGGGCGUAAAGGGCUCGCAGGCGGUUUCUUAAGUCUGAUGUGAAAGCCCCCGGCUCAACCGGGGAGGGUCAUUGGAAACUGGGAAACUUGAGUGCAGAAGAGGAGAGUGGAAUUCCACGUGUAGCGGUGAAAUGCGUAGAGAUGUGGAGGAACACCAGUGGCGAAGGCGACUCUCUGGUCUGUAACUGACGCUGAGGAGCGAAAGCGUGGGGAGCGAACAGGAUUAGAUACCCUGGUAGUCCACGCCGUAAACGAUGAGUGCUAAGUGUUAGGGGGUUUCCGCCCCUUAGUGCUGCAGCU
rnacentral:rRNA from 1 species